rnacentral:rRNA from 1 species
AUUGAACGCUGGCGGCAUGCCUUACACAUGCAAGUCGAACGGUAACAGGUCUUCGGCUGCUGCCGAGUGGCGAACGGGUGAGUAAUACAUCGGAACGUGCCCGAUCGUGGGGGAUAACGAAGCGAAAGCUUUGCUAAUACCGCAUAAGAUCUACGGAUGAAAGCAGGGGACCGCAAGGCCUUGCGCGAACGGAGCGGCCGAUGGCAGAUUAGGUAGUUGGUGGGAUAAAAGCUUACCAAGCCGACGAUCUGUAGCUGGUCUGAGAGGACGACCAGCCACACUGGGACUGAGACACGGCCCAGACUCCUACGGGAGGCAGCAGUGGGGAAUUUUGGACAAUGGGCGAAAGCCUGAUCCAGCCAUGCCGCGUGCAGGAUGAAGGCCUUCGGGUUGUAAACUGCUUUUGUACGGAACGAAAAGACUCUGGUUAAUACCUGGGGUCCAUGACGGUACCGUAAGAAUAAGCACCGGCUAACUACGUG